rnacentral:rRNA from 1 species
AUGGUCGGGCUCAAGCUCGGGUCGUCGUCCUCCUACGCGUCGUGCUCAUCCUCGCUUGCUUGGGAGUCUGACGCCGACAGCGGGCACCGCCGCUGUUCGCGGAAGAAGGCGACCACGGAUCCGUGGCCCGCAUCUUGGAGUUCGAGGAAGCGGAGGAGCAGCAGCGUUCGUCACCGCGGCCACCACUCGUCCCGUGGGCAGCGUGAGGUCGUGGAUGGGUGCCCGGGCGAGCGGCGGCGGCCGGCAGCAGGGCAGGGAGGCGGGUGCGGGUUAGGGUUUGGAGGGAGAGAGAGAGACAGAGAGAGGUGA